GCUCAGACUUCAGAGACAAAGGAGUAGGAGUGGUAGGUGGGCUGGGGAGAGCUGGAUCGGCCUGGGUCCACCUGCCUGGAGAAGGACCCAGACUCACAGGACUGGACUUUCAGGGAAAGAGUUCAAAAGGGCUGGGAGAAAAGGAGAAAAGAAAGCGCACACUGCAAACACAAGAGUGAAGUCAGUUACCCCCGAGAACAAACCACGCCACAGGGGUGCAGUGAGAUAUCCAGAAACAGCGGUGGCAUGCCUUCCAGAGACUGGGCAGCCUUUCCACUAUCAAAGAGGUGGGGCCUGGCUGUCAGCCCCCGACCUCCAGUUUAUCUCCUCCCCCAAAACAGCUCUGAUUGAAUCCUCCUUGGCCCCAGCAAGGAAGGACACUGUGGGGCAGGGCUACCCUACUAGAAUUACAUUUCCUUCUUCCACGGACGGGGCAACUCUUACCAGAAAGGGCAUCCUGCUGCCAGCCUCAGACCCCUCCCACAAGACCCCGGAGAAGAGCCCCCUGGAAUAACGCUGUUAAGGCCCCUUCCAAAUGAAGUCAGACCCUGGAGGGUCCCUCUGACAACUCAGGAUCCCUCAGAUACAUGGACACCUCAAAUCUUAACUGGGAAAAGUAUAAACCAGCCAAACUGUGAAUAAUGGCUAUAUUUCCAGGAAAUUCUCAUCCAUGAGGCUUAAGACGUUGACCAGAAAUUUCUCAACUUCCCCACAGAAGCUUUCUUCACGUCUUCAUAGCACAUUAUCAGCACUUCAUCUG